GACGAACGCUGGCGGCGUGCUUAACACAUGCAAGUCGAACGGAAAGGCCCUGCUUGCAGGGUACUCGAGUGGCGAACGGGUGAGUAACACGUGGGUGAUCUGCCCUGCACUUCGGGAUAAGCCUGGGAAACUGGGUCUAAUACCGGAUAGGAGCCAUUUUUAGUGUGAUGGUUGGAAAGUUUUUUCGGUGUAGGAUGAGCUCGCGGCCUAUCAGCUUGUUGGUGGGGUAAUGGCCUACCAAGGCGGCGACGGGUAGCCGGCCUGAGAGGGUGGACGGCCACAUUGGGACUGAGAUACGGCCCAGACUCCUACGGGAGGCAGCAGUGGGGAAUAUUGCACAAUGGGCGCAAGCCUGAUGCAGCGACGCCGCGUGGGGGAUGACGGCCUUCGGGUUGUAAACUCCUUUCGCUAGGGACGAGGCUUUUUGUGACGGUACCUAGAUAAGAAGCACCGGCUAACUACGUGCCAGCAGCCGCGGUAA
rnacentral:rRNA from 1 species